AUGCUGCCAACCGAGUCACAGAUAAGCAUGUGAACUUUGCUAAUCAGAAGAUGAAGGUCUCCCUGGCUGCUCAGACUUUGAGUAACUCUGUGGCAGUGGCGCUCCGCACCUUGCAGGACGUGGGCUAUGCAGAGUUCAAAGGUUGUGAGGCUACUUCAGAAUUGAUUAAGUUUUGGCAUCAGGAACGAUUAAAUAAUUAUGACCCUCCUCAAAUUCAACAAUAUGC